AUUGAACGCUGGCGGCAGGCCUAACACAUGCAAGUCGAGCGGGGUUUCGGACCUAGCGGCGCACGGGUGAGUAAUGUAUAGAUAACCUGCCCUCUAGAAAGGAAUAACAGUUGGAAACGACUGCUAAUGCCCUAUAUGCCUUUAAUACAUAAGUAUGCAAGGGAAACGCUUUAGUGCUAGAGGAUGGGUCUGUAUGGUAUCAGCUUGUUGGUGAGGUAAUGGCUCACCAAGGCUAUGACGCCUAACUGGUUUGAGAGGAUGAUCAGUCACACUGGAACUGAGACACGGUCCAGACUCCUACGGGAGGCAGCAGUGGGGAAUAUUGCACAAUGGACGAAAGUCUGAUGCAGCAACGCCGCGUGGAGGAUGACACAUUUCGGUGCGUAAACUCCUUUUAUAUAGGAAGAUAAUGACGGUACUAUAUGAAUAAGCACCGGCUAACUCCGUG
rnacentral:rRNA from 1 species